AGCCAUUUCCAAGGUUUUGCACCAGGAGUAGCUGUCCGGGUCUCUGGCUAGCUCCUGUCCCAACUUCUUUUUCUUCCCUCGACGGUCGGGAGGGAUCACUGGGUGCUACACCGCUGGGGCGUCCCAGGCAGGAGAGACUUCGCUCUCAGAAGCGCCCCCGUGUCAUCCACAACUCCCACGAAAGGAGCUUCCCAAGAGGAGUUUGUUUUACCCGGAAUGGGCUGCAGGAAUUAAUUGCUUACAGAGAGUAAACUUUUGCCCGUUGUUUUUUUGUUUUUUGUGCUUUUUUUAACCAAAGCUUGCAUUUGUGCUCCGCGUAGUUUCUAUUGCAACAGAGCGCUACUCUGCCUUUUCAACUGUGAGACAGAGGAUUGCUGAGGAUUUCUGCCCUCUGGGGCUUCGCGAAUAUCUAUGGCUUCGGACCUGCUAGCGGAAAACGCAAAGUUGCCCAGCUUGGAGAUGGCACCAGGUUCCUUUGCUCUGGCGCUGGAUGCUCCGCUCCGCCACCCACCGCCGCCGUCUCCAUCGAGAAUCUCCUCAAAAUCAAGGGAGUUCUUGACUGUCCCUCUCCAAAUUGGAAGGCGGUUGACUUUGCCGGGAACCGAGUUCCUGAGCGGCAAACGUGGAGUCGCAGAGCGCAGAAGUGAAGAUUUAAUACAAAAGAUGAAACUUGUAGGAUGACCUCUAGCAGCGCUACUCACAGCUCUGAAAUCGAUCCAGAGCAUUCCACAGUGAGCGUUGCGGCUCCCAGGGGCUCCGGACCGGUAACUUCAGGCGCAAGUCUGAAUUUCAGGGAUGAACCUGCUUUGGAUUCUGUUUGAGCCGACUCAGUGCAGAGGCAGUGACAGGGGCUGUGGGUUUAGGGGUGAUGGAUCCAUGAAGGCUGCCACUUGGAGCGAGCAGACAGUUGGCGAUACCCUCCCACUAACUUGCUCCGCUGCUCCGGGCUGUUCACAGACAGACCCACGCGUAAGGAUUUAGAGUGUGUAUGUCCAACGCCCAGACUUAACUUCUGGUGCAAUUAAGGGAAGAGCUUGAAGCUAACCCGCGCAGCUUGCCUGAAGAAGUGAAUAAUGAAAUCGGUGAUGAGGUGCUAAGGAAUAAAAAGAGGCAUUUUGUUUGCGUGUGUAUUAGUUUGCCAGGAUUGAGUUUUUAGGUUUGAUGUCCUAAAAUGUAUCUUCGACAGUGACUCUUUUGCAGCCUUUCAAGAGGAGGAUGUUCGGCAGUAUUUUGGAACCUGGUAUGAAUCUAUACAUUGUCUGCGUGCCGCAAUAUUUGAUGCCUCUUCGAGUUCUAAUUCUUAUUCCUAAUUAAUAAAUGACUGUUCCUGAUAAUGAAGUGGGAAUAAGAAUUAUAAUAAACUAUUUCCAACAAAAGGCCAUCUUUAACUUAUGAUUUCUGAUUGUAUAAGCCUAUCAAUUACCAAUAAAAUAUUCUGCAGACUAUUAGGCAUGAAUUGCAGAGCUGUAAUGAAGAGACUCACUUGGUUCAAGAAAAUUCAGAAUUUAGAGCGACUCCUCUCCAAAAAGGUUGUGACUUCAAAUUCCUUUCUUGGUUGCUGUUGGUAUGCAGGCCACUGUCUGCAACUGAAGUUUCUGUUUAAAGUAAACAUAGGUUAUUUACAUAUUCAUUAACUUUAAUACGUGAAGGGUGCCUUACAGUGGUAGGAAAUGUUGUGGAAAGUCUUGUACCAGCCAUGGCGAAGUCUUUUUACUUGCUUUGAGUUUUUGAUGUAUGCGAUGUGUAUGCAGUAGUGGUAAUCCAUAGCAUAAUAUUCUUGACAUUUAAGCACCCUCAAAAAAAAUAAUAAAAACCUGUAGAUUUAUGGAUCCUGUUCAAAAAAUGGAAGAGGAUAAGGAUCACCCUUUUCCCCCUCGCCUUUUACAUUUUGCUUUUAUGGGGGAAAUUAUUUAACAAACAAGGAGAGCAAACCUCAGGAUCAGAGGAUGUACCCCAUUCCCGCUACCCUUAGGUCUAUCUAUGGAAUUGAAAAGAAACUAUUGAGACUCAAAGAUACUGUCAGAUCCAAGAAUCUGAUUUCACCACCAAAUUAAAAUAACUACAGCAUUAUUCCAGUGUUGUCUAUGUAUUUAUGUUUUCUGAUAAUUGAAUUUGAAAUAUAUGAUAUCUCUUCCAAUGGAAACAUCUUGAUCCUUUUCCCUCCUUAAGAUCAUUUCUCUACAAACUGCCAUUUUCAGAACACCUUUUACUUCUCUAGAGCAUAGCAUUCAGUCUAUUGGUGUACUGUCUUUUCAUAGAUAAAAGCUAUUCUUUCUUUACUGGUAUGCCUUUGCUACUGUACUGUGAGCUCUGAGAGCACGGAUCUUGUCAUUUACAUUGUUGUUCCCCAGAAUCUAUACAGAAUCUAGUACACAAUAAAAUAGAUGUAUAUGAUGAUGAUGAUGAUGAUGAAAGCGACCAUGUAUUGAGUAAUGACUUAAUGACUAUGUAAUGUGAUUUAUGUACAUUAUAUCAGUUGAUCCUGUUUAC
ensembl:lncRNA novel transcript